rnacentral:rRNA from 1 species
UAAGCAACUUGUACUGUGAAACUGCGAAUGGCUCAUUAAAUCAGUUAUCGUUUAUUUGAUAGUACCUUACUACAUGGAUACCUGUGGUAAUUCUAGAGCUAAUACAUGCUAAAAACCCCGACUUCAGGAAGGGGUGUAUUUAUUAGAUAAAAAACCAACGCCCUUCGGGGCUCCUUGGUGAAUCAUAAUAACUUAACGAAUCGCAUGGCCUUGCGCCGGCGAUGGUUCAUUCAAAUUUCUGCCCUAUCAACUUUCGAUGGUAGGAUAGUGGCCUACCAUGGUGGCAACGGGUAACGGGGAAUUAGGGUUCGAUUCCGGAGAGGGAGCCUGAGAAACGGCUACCACAUCCAAGGAAGGCAGCAGGCGCGCAAAUUACCCAAUCCCGAUACGGGGAGGUAGUGACAAUAAAUACUGAUACGGGGCUCUUUUGGGUCUCGUAAUUGGAAUGAGAACAAUUUAAAUCCCUUAACGAGGAACAAUUGGAGGGCAAGUCUGGUGCCAGCAGCCGCGGUAAUUCCAGCUCCAAUAGCGUAUAUUAAAGUUGUUGCAGUUAAAAAGCUCGUAGUUGAACCUUGGGUCUGGCUGGCCGGUCCGCCUCACCGCGAGUACUGGUCCGGCUGGACCUUUCCUUCUGGGGAACCUCAUGGCCUUCACUGGCUGUGGGGGGAACCAGGACUUUUACUGUGAAAAAAUUAGAGUGUUCAAAGCAGGCCUUUGCUCGAAUACAUUAGCAUGGAAUAAUAGAAUAGGACGUGUGGUUCUAUUUUGUUGGUUUCUAGGACCGCCGUAAUGAUUAAUAGGGAUAGUCGGGGGCGUCAGUAUUCAGCUGUCAGAGGUGAAAUUCUUGGAUUUGCUGAAGACUAACUACUGCGAAAGCAUUCGCCAAGGAUGUUUUCAUUAAUCAGGGAACGAAAGUUAGGGGAUCGAAGACGAUCAGAUACCGUCGUAGUCUUAACCAUAAACUAUGCCGACUAGGGAUCGGACGGGAUUCUAUAAUGACCCGUUCGGCACCUUACGAGAAAUCAAA